GGAGAAGUAUCGAAGUGGUCAUAACGGCCCCGACUCGAAAUCGGGUAAGCCCUUAACCGGGCCCGUGGGUUCGAAUCCCACCUUCUCCGCCA
rnacentral:tRNA from 1 species